CGUGUAGGUGGGUUCGCAAGUCAAAUGUGAAAACCGGUGGCUCAACUGCCGGCCUGCAUUUGAAACUGCAGACCUUGAGUACGGGAGAGGAAAGCGGAAUUCCUGGUGUAGCGGUGAAAUGCGUAGAUAUCAGGAGGAACACCGGUGGCGAAGGCGGCUUUCUGGCCCGAUACUGACACUGAGGCGCGAAGGCUAGGGGAGCAAACA
rnacentral:rRNA from 1 species